rnacentral:rRNA from 1 species
GAUGAACGCUGGCGGCGUGCCUAAUACAUGCAAGUCGAGCGAACUUUUGGGAGGUUUCUCCCAAAAGUUAUCGGCGGACGGGUGAGUAACACGUGUGUAACCUGCCUCUAAGACUGGGAGAACUUCGGGAAACCGGAGCGAAUACCGGAGAACAUUUAAUACAACAUGUCCUUCAAUUAAAAAAUGGCUUUUAGCUACCACUUACAGAUGGACCCGCGGCGCAUUAUCUAGUUGGUGAGGUAACGGCUCACCAAGGCGACGAUGCGUAGCCGACCUGAGAGGGGGGUCCGCCCCACUGGGACCUGGACCCGGGCCAGAAUCCUACGGGGGGCAGCAGUAGGGAAUCUUUCGGAAUGGACGAAAGUCCGGCGGAGGCAAGCCGGGUGAGGGAAGGAGGCCCUCGGGUCGUAAAGCUUGGUUGUUAGGGAAGAAAAAGUAGCGUUCGAAUAGGGGGGUAUCUUGACGGUACCUAAUCAGAAAGCCACGGCUAACUACGUG